UACGAAGGGUGCAGGCGUUACUCGGAAUUACUGGGCGUAAAGCGUGCGUAGGUGGUUUGUUAAGUCUGUUGUGAAAGCCCCGGGCUCAACCUGGGAAUGGCAAUGGAUACUGGCAAGCUAGAGUGCGGUAGAGGGUAGUGGAAUUCCCGGUGUAGCGGUGAAAUGCGCAGAUAUCAGGAGGAACACCGGUGGCGAAGGCGGUCUGCUGGGCAGUUGCUGACACUGAGGCGCGACAGCGUGGGGAGCAAACAGG
rnacentral:rRNA from 1 species